CCUCGCACGCACUGCGGGCUCCGGCGCUGCGGGCUGGCCGGGCGCUGCGGGCUGACCGGGCGCUCCGGGAACUCGGCUCGGGAACCUCGUCUGCGGUGGGCGGGGCCGGCCCGGAGCCCCGCCCCGGCUCAGUCCCUGAAACCCAGGCGCGGACCGGCUGCAGUCUCAGAAGGGAGCUGCUGUCUGCGGAGGAAACUGCAUCGACGGACGGCCGCCCAGCUACGGGAGGACCUGGAGUGGCACUGGGCGCCCGACGGACCAUCCCCGGGACCCGCCUGCCCCUCGGCGCCCCGCCCCGCCGGGCCGCUCCCCGUCGGGUUCCCCAGCCACAGCCUUACCUACGGGCUCCUGACUCCGCAAGGCUUCCAGAAGAUGCUCGAACCACCGGCCGGGGCCUCGGGGCAGCAGUGAGGGAGGCGUCCAGCCCCCCACUCAGCUCUUCUCCUCCUGUGCCAGGGGCUCCCCGGGGGAUGAGCAUGGUGGUUUUCCCUCGGAGCCCCCUGGCUCGGGACGUCUGAGAAGAUGCCGGUCAUGAGGCUGUUCCCUUGCUUCCUGCAGCUCCUGGCCGGGCUGGCGCUGCCUGCUGUGCCCCCCCACAGUGGGCCUUGUCUGCUGGGAACGGCUCGUCAGAGGUGGAAUGGUACCCUUCCAGGAAGUGUGGGGCCGCAGCUACUGCCGGGCGCUGGAGAGGCUGGUGGACGUCGUGUCCGAGUACCCCAGCGAGGUGGAGCACAUGUUCAGCCCAUCCUGUGUCUCCCUGCUGCGCUGCACCGGCUGCUGCGGCGAUGAGAAUCUGCACUGUGUGCCGGUGGAGACGGCCAAUGUCACCAUGCACUCCUAAAGAUCCGUUCUGGGGACCGGCCCUCCUACGUGGAGCUGACGUUCUCUCAGCACGUUCGCUGCGAAUGCCGCCUCUGCGGGAGAAGAUGAAGCCGGAAAGAGGAGACCCAAGGGCAGGGGGAAGAGGAGGAGAGAGAAGCAGAGACCCACAGACUGCCACCUG
rnacentral:lncRNA from 1 species